GCGCUUGUAGCUCAGGUGGAUAGAGCAACUGCCUUCUAAGCAGUGGGCCCGGGGUUCGAGUCCCUGCAAGCGCGCCA
rnacentral:tRNA from 1 species